AGCGAACGCUGGCGGCAGGCUUAACACAUGCAAGUCGAGCGGGCGUAGCAAUACGUCAGCGGCAGACGGGUGAGUAACGCGUGGGAACGUACCUUUUGGUUCGGAACAACACAGGGAAACUUGUGCUAAUACCGGAUAAGCCCUUACGGGGAAAGAUUUAUCGCCGAAAGAUCGGCCCGCGUCUGAUUAGCUAGUUGGUGUGGUAACGGCGCACCAAGGCGACGAUCAGUAGCUGGCUGAGAGGAUGAUCAGCCACAUUGGGACUGAGACACGGCCCAAACUCCUACGGGAGGCAGCAGUGGGGAAUAUUGGACAAUGGGCGCAAGCCUGAUCCAGCCAUGCCGCGUGAGUGAUGAA
rnacentral:rRNA from 1 species